GACGAACGCUGGCGGCGUGCUUAACACAUGCAAGUCGAGCGGUAAGGCCCUUUCGGGGUACGACGAGCGGCGAACGGGUGAGUAACACGUGGGUGACCUGCCCUUACGCUCUGGGAGUAAGCCUGGGAAACUGGGUCUAAUACCGGAUAUGACUCCAUGACGCAUGUUGUGGGGUGGAAAGCCUUGUGCGGCUAGGGAUGGGCCCGCGGCCUAUCAGCUUGUUGGUGGGGUGAUGGCCACCAAGGCGACGACGGGUAGCCGGCCUGAGAGGGCGACCGGCC
rnacentral:rRNA from 1 species